ACUGGUGUUUGGACUCAGACUGAAACAUCUGCUCUCUUAGGACCUGAAAUGAAGCCAUACGUUGGCUCUCCUGAGUCUCCACAUUCUUGACUGCAGAUUUGGGACUUCUCAGCCUCCAUAAACAUGACUUUUAUGCGAGUGUGAGGGCCAGCAGGUGCACAUUUGAAGCUCAGUGGGAAGUGUUUUCCAAGCAACAGGAGACAGCAGAUGCAGACGGGGUCCAAUUACUGCUGCUGACGGCUGAUCACGCCAUGCACUUGUGUGCGGAUACCUGGCUCCUGGUCUCGGGCACCUAGUAUGGGGCUAUGCACAC
rnacentral:lncRNA from 1 species